AUAAUUAUAAAACUUGAACAAGAGAGGACGAGAAAGGAGAAACACCUACUGACGAUUGAUUUGUAAAGGAAGCUGAUAGAGGAGGU
rnacentral:sRNA from 1 species